UUUGCCGACGCCACCUCCGCCCUUCUCCGAGGCACCAGGAGCUCACACCAACGCCUCCUCCGCCCUUCGCCACCGACGCACCUCCGCCCUUCUUCGACGCACCAGGAACCAUUUAUCUGGUUUCAAUUUGUGCGCUGAUGUUGGAAGAUGCCACCUUCGUCGUCGCACCUCCGCCCUCCUCCAACGCACCAGGAGCCCACAUCAACGCCACCUCCGCCCUUCGCCGACGCCACCUCCGUCAUCACACCUCCGCCGACGCCCACACCGAAUUCUUGAAACUUGAAACCCACUAAUCAAUUGUAGUUGGAUUGGAAUUUCUUACCGUUCACCGCUUGCUGUUGCACAUUGUCACGCCAUUCGCUGCUCGCCGUUGUACAUUACCAAUUGUUCGAGCUUUACUGUUCGUUGUAGCAAACCACUCGUUCCCCGUUGUGUCUGCUCUCUACCUUGCUGGUAAGGUUUAAAUUAUUUCUCAAAUAAUUCCAUAGUUACUGAAUGCAUUUGUGCCGAUAAUAAGUUCAUUUAAUUGAAACUAUAUGUAUAUUAUAAUGUGCAUGAGCCUACGACUAGCAAUGCAAUUCCCUUUCUCUUGAUUUGUUUGCUUUCUAAAUUUGGUGAUUUUAUCUCUAUUUGUUUUCUUAUGACAUUUUUUGUUUUGCAUUAUGAAUCUAAAAACUUCAUUAUUCCAAAAUAAAACAAGUAUCGGCGUUUCUUGUCUCUAAAUGAUUUUGAUGGUUUAGAUAGUAAUUUUUAUAGAUAGUUUACGUUGCAAUCUUCUUGAAUUUUCUAUUAUUACGGACUUGCAGUUCU